GAUGAACGCUGGCGGCGUGCCUAAUACAUGCAAGUCGAACGAAACUUCUUUAUCACCGAGUGCUUGCACUCACCGAUAAAGAGUUGAGUGGCGAACGGGUGAGUAACACGUGGGCAACCUGCCCAAAAGAGGGGGAUAACACUUGGAAACAGGUGCUAAUACCGCAUAACCAUAGUUACCGCAUGGUAACUAUGUAAAAGGUGGCUAUACUACCGCUUUUGGAUGGGCCCGCGGCGCAUUAGCUAGUUGGUAGGGUAAAGGCUUACCAAGGCAAUGAUGCGUAGCCGAAUUGAGAGGUUGAUGGGCCACAUUGGGAGAGAGACACGGCCCAAACUCCUACGGGAGGCAGCAGUAGGGAAUCUGCCACAAUGGGCGAAAGCCUGAUGGAGCAACGCCGAGUGGGUGAAGAAGGUCUUCGGAUCGUAAAGCCCUGUUGUUAGAGAAGAAAGUGCGUGAGAGUAACUGUUCACGUUUCGACGGUAUCUAACCAGAAAGCCACGGCUAACUACGUG
rnacentral:rRNA from 1 species